GACGUAGGGGGCCAGCGUUGUUCGGAAUUACUGGGCGUAAAGCGCACGUAGGCGGAUCUUUAAGUCAGAGGUGAAAUCCCAAGGCUCAACCUUGGAACUGCCUUUGAUACUGGGGAUCUUGAGUCCGGGAGAGGUGAGUGGAACUGCGAGUGUAGAGGUGAAAUUCGUAGAUAUUCGCAAGAACACCAGUGGCGAAGGCGGCUCACUGGCCCGGUACUGACGCUGAGGUGCGAAAGCGUGGGGAGCAAACAGG
rnacentral:rRNA from 1 species